GCGACUUUUGUACUUCUUCUGGUUGACCUCGAAUCAGGUAGGGAUACCCGCUGAACUUAAG
rnacentral:rRNA from 1 species